UUAAGCGACUAAGCGUACACGGUGGAUGCCCUGGCAGUCAGAGGCGAUGAAGGACGUGCUAAUCUGCGAUAAGCGUCGGUAAGGUGAUAUGAACCGUUAUAACCGGCGAUUUCCGAAUGGGGAAACCCAGUGUGUUUCGACACACUAUCAUUAACUGAAUCCAUAGGUUAAUGAGGCGAACCGGGGGAACUGAAACAUCUAAGUACCCCGAGGAAAAGAAAUCAACCGAGAUUCCCCCAGUAGCGGCGAGCGAACGGGGAGCAGCCCAGAGCCUGAAUCAGUGUGUGUGUUAGUGGAAGCGUCUGGAAAGGCGCGCGAUACAGGGUGACAGCCCCGUACACAAAAAUGCACAUGCUGUGAGCUCGAUGAGUAGGGCGGGACACGUGGUAUCCUGUCUGAAUAUGGGGGGACCAUCCUCCAAGGCUAAAUACUCCUGACUGACCGAUAGUGAACCAGUACCGUGAGGGAAAGGCGAAAAGAACCCCGGCGAGGGGAGUGAAAAAGAACCUGAAACCGUGUACGUACAAGCAGUGGGAGCCUCUUUAUGGGGUGACUGCGUACCUUUUGUAUAAUGGGUCAGCGACUUAUAUUCUGUAGCAAGGUUAACCGAAUAGGGGAGCCGAAGGGAAACCGAGUCUUAACUGGGCGUUAAGUUGCAGGGUAUAGACCCGAAACCCGGUGAUCUAGCCAUGGGCAGGUUGAAGGUUGGGUAACACUAACUGGAGGACCGAACCGACUAAUGUUGAAAAAUUAGCGGAUGACUUGUGGCUGGGGGUGAAAGGCCAAUCAAACCGGGAGAUAGCUGGUUCUCCCCGAAAGCUAUUUAGGUAGCGCCUCGUGAAUUCAUCUCCGGGGGUAGAGCACUGUUUCGGCAAGGGGGUCAUCCCGACUUACCAACCCGAUGCAAACUGCGAAUACCGGAGAAUGUUAUCACGGGAGACACACGGCGGGUGCUAACGUCCGUCGUGAAGAGGGAAACAACCCAGACCGCCAGCUAAGGUCCCAAAGUCAUGGUUAAGUGGGAAACGAUGUGGGAAGGCCCAGACAGCCAGGAUGUUGGCUUAGAAGCAGCCAUCAUUUAAAGAAAGCGUAAUAGCUCACUGGUCGAGUCGGCCUGCGCGGAAGAUGUAACGGGGCUAAACCAUGCACCGAAGCUGCGGCAGCGACGCUUAUGCGUUGUUGGGUAGGGGAGCGUUCUGUAAGCCUGUGAAGGUGUGCUGUGAGGCAUGCUGGAGGUAUCAGAAGUGCGAAUGCUGACAUAAGUAACGAUAAAGCGGGUGAAAAGCCCGCUCGCCGGAAGACCAAGGGUUCCUGUCCAACGUUAAUCGGGGCAGGGUGAGUCGACCCCUAAGGCGAGGCCGAAAGGCGUAGUCGAUGGGAAACAGGUUAAUAUUCCUGUACUUGGUGUUACUGCGAAGGGGGGACGGAGAAGGCUAUGUUGGCCGGGCGACGGUUGUCCCGGUUUAAGCGUGUAGGCUGGUUUUCCAGGCAAAUCCGGAAAAUCAAGGCUGAGGCGUGAUGACGAGGCACUACGGUGCUGAAGCAACAAAUGCCCUGCUUCCAGGAAAAGCCUCUAAGCAUCAGGUAACAUCAAAUCGUACCCCAAACCGACACAGGUGGUCAGGUAGAGAAUACCAAGGCGCUUGAGAGAACUCGGGUGAAGGAACUAGGCAAAAUGGUGCCGUAACUUCGGGAGAAGGCACGCUGAUAUGUAGGUGAGGUCCCUCGCGGAUGGAGCUGAAAUCAGUCGAAGAUACCAGCUGGCUGCAACUGUUUAUUAAAAACACAGCACUGUGCAAACACGAAAGUGGACGUAUACGGUGUGACGCCUGCCCGGUGCCGGAAGGUUAAUUGAUGGGGUUAGCGGUAACGCGAAGCUCUUGAUCGAAGCCCCGGUAAACGGCGGCCGUAACUAUAACGGUCCUAAGGUAGCGAAAUUCCUUGUCGGGUAAGUUCCGACCUGCACGAAUGGCGUAAUGAUGGCCAGGCUGUCUCCACCCGAGACUCAGUGAAAUUGAACUCGCUGUGAAGAUGCAGUGUACCCGCGGCAAGACGGAAAGACCCCGUGAACCUUUACUAUAGCUUGACACUGAACAUUGAGCCUUGAUGUGUAGGAUAGGUGGGAGGCUUUGAAGUGUGGACGCCAGUCUGCAUGGAGCCGACCUUGAAAUACCACCCUUUAAUGUUUGAUGUUCUAACGUUGACCCGUAAUCCGGGUUGCGGACAGUGUCUGGUGGGUAGUUUGACUGGGGCGGUCUCCUCCUAAAGAGUAACGGAGGAGCACGAAGGUUGGCUAAUCCUGGUCGGACAUCAGGAGGUUAGUGCAAUGGCAUAAGCCAGCUUGACUGCGAGCGUGACGGCGCGAGCAGGUGCGAAAGCAGGUCAUAGUGAUCCGGUGGUUCUGAAUGGAAGGGCCAUCGCUCAACGGAUAAAAGGUACUCCGGGGAUAACAGGCUGAUACCGCCCAAGAGUUCAUAUCGACGGCGGUGUUUGGCACCUCGAUGUCGGCUCAUCACAUCCUGGGGCUGAAGUAGGUCCCAAGGGUAUGGCUGUUCGCCAUUUAAAGUGGUACGCGAGCUGGGUUUAGAACGUCGUGAGACAGUUCGGUCCCUAUCUGCCGUGGGCGCUGGAGAACUGAGGGGGGCUGCUCCUAGUACGAGAGGACCGGAGUGGACGCAUCACUGGUGUUCGGGUUGUCAUGCCAAUGGCACUGCCCGGUAGCUAAAUGCGGAAGAGAUAAGUGCUGAAAGCAUCUAAGCACGAAACUUGCCCCGAGAUGAGUUCUCCCUGACUCCUUGAGAGUCCUGAAGGAACGUUGAAGACGACGACGUUGAUAGGCCGGGUGUGUAAGCGCAGCGAUGCGUUGAGCUAACCGGUACUAAUGAACCGUGAGGCUUAACCUU
rnacentral:rRNA from 1 species